rnacentral:misc_RNA from 1 species
CCUUAAAUAACCAGGCAAAGAAUGAUAUUCUACUAGCUGGUACUUCACUUUCUUCCACAAUCUCUUCCCUUUCCCUUCCACUGAAGAGCUCACUUGGUGCUUCUCCAUUGUUUCAGAUAUAACCUUUGAGACCUCACUGCUUUGCUUUCCAAUAUCCAUUAUCUGAAAUUGAAGAAGCACCCACUGAGAGAGAAAACCCAGAUGGG